GGGCUCUUAGCGCACAGGUAGCGCGCACGCUUCGCAUAGGCUACUUACGGCCCAAGAUAUCGUGUAGUUGUGAGAUGUGUGAGUAUCGUGGGUUCAAACCCCACAUCGAAUCCA